rnacentral:rRNA from 1 species
AUUGAACGCUGGCGGCGUGCCUAACACAUGCAAGUCGAGCGGUAACAGGUGUAGCAAUACAUGCUGACGAGCGGCGGACGGGUGAGUAACGCUUGGGAAUCUGCCUAUUAGUGGGGACAACCCGGGGAAACUCGGGCUAAUACCGCAUACGCUCUACGGAGGAAAGCCGGGGACCGCAAGGCCUGGCGCUAAUAGAUGAGCCCAAGUCGGAUUAGCUAGUUGGUAGGUAAUGGCCUACCAAGGCGACGAUCCGUAACUGGUCUGAGAGGACGACCAGUCACACCGGAACUGAGACACGGUCCGGACUCCUACGGGAGGCAGCAGUGGGGAAUAUUGGACAAUGGGCGAAAGCCUGAUCCAGCGACGCCGCGUGGGUGAAGAAGGCCUGCGGGUUGUAAAGCCCUUUCAGUGGGGAAGAAAGCCUCGACCUAACACGUCGGGGUCUUGACGUAACCAUAGAAGAAGCACCGGCUAACUCUGU